GAAGGAUCAUUAGUGAAUAAACUUGUGUGAGUUGUUGCUGGCCACCUCGGUGGCAUGUGCACACUUGCCAUCGUUUCAUUCCUUCCCUUCCACCUGUGCACUCAUUGUAGAUCACGCUGCUAUCCUCGGGUGUAUGCUUCCUGCAUCUCACCUGGUGUGAGGGCCUGCCUUCUGGGCUGUCCUUGGGCUGUGCUGGUCUAUGUUCUCAUCAACCCAAUUGUAUGUGACCGAAUGUAUGACCUGGGUUCGUUGUAGACCCAUAAAUCCUAUACAACUUUCAACAACGGAUCUCUUGGCUCUCGCAUCGAUGAAGAACGCAGCGAAAUGCGAUAAGUAAUGUGAAUUGCAGAAUUCAGUGAAUCAUCGAAUCUUUGAACGCACCUUGCGCUCCUUGGUAUUCCGAGGAGCAUGCCUGUUUGAGUGUCAUUAAAUCCUCAACCUCAUCUCCCUUGUGGGUGCAUGUGGUUGGAUGUGGAAGCCUGCUGGCUGUGCGUAUGGUCAGCUCUUCUGAAAAGCAUUAGCAGAGCCAAUGUAUGUGAGGCUGCGGCUUGGUAUUGAUAGUUGUCUUACCAGGUAGCAUCAAGCAAAAGUGCUCAGCUCCCAACUGUCUCGCUGCUGAGACAAUUUAUCUGACGAUUUGACCUCAAAUCAGGUAGG
rnacentral:rRNA from 1 species